CCCCACCUGUGGUCCCUCAUUUAGCGACGAGCGCUAUGCUUACUUUGUCUUCACUGCAAACACCUGUGGGACGACCAGAAAGUUUUUGCGCACUGUGAUGCUGUAUGAAAAUGAAAUAUCUCUGCCAGGCGUACAUGUAGAUGAAUCCAAGGAGAAGCAUCGAUAUGCAUUGAAGAUUUCUUGUUACUAUAACAUCAACACAACAAACACUGUGGGCUUCCACACUAAACCUGGUAUGA